GUCUCAUCUUGGAAACGACAUCACAAAGUCGUAAUUAGCUAGCUUUGCACAAGAUUAUCCAGGAGACUAGUGGAUCUGGCGGGGUAUGCAUGUGUCUUCAAGCUGCGUAGUGAAUAAAAGAUGUUAUCCAUGGUCGAUGAGUUUAGAGGGUCUAUCCUAAUCCUGGACGGGAUACAUGUCUCUAAACUCAGCAAACGGAUGGGCAUUCUCGGUCACGGGAGCUAUGGAAGGGACCAACAAGAUCGUCACAAGCAACCUUGUCCCAGUCUCAGAGUAGGAGCUUGUGAACUGUGACACAUCUUAUAAUGAAGGGUGCAAAGGAGGUCUCAUGGACCAUGCUUUCGAGUUCAUCAUAAAAAAUGGCGGUAUCCACACCGAAGAAGAUUACCCCUACACAGGCACAAAUGGCAUAUGCGAAGCUAACAAGGUUUGUACUUUGUACUAGUUUCUUGAAUCCAUCAAUUUGUUUUAUUGUUUUGUCUCGAUAUGCGUUUGGUCUAUGCAGACAACCAUGAAGGCUGUCACGAUUGAUGGUUAUGAAUAUGUUCCUAACGAUGAAUUAUCACUCCAAAAGGAUGUCACAAGCCAAUCUAUAUACGUCGCGGUGGAUGCCAGUCUCAUGUCCAGCUUAACUCUGGUGUAAUACAACCUAACCUAUAUAUGAUUAAAAUCAUUUCAAACGGAUUAAGAAUAUGAUAAGUUAGUGAGAUAUGCGGUGUUUUUCAACAAUAGAAGUUCUAAUCAACUUCUUGCUUGAAAUCUCCCAUCAUUAUUGCUCAAUCUCUUCAAAACAGACAUUGUUAGCCGUGCCACAUGAGGGGGUUCUUCUUGUGACCAUCAUCCGGCCUGAGGAUAAGUAUUGGCUCUUUGAGAAUAAAAAAUGUAAGGGGUUGUUUGUUUACCUCUUAACGAGGCUGUUAAUGGUUCAGACCUCUUACUAGUUCAGCACUUAAUGGUUCAGACUGUUUCUUUCAUGAGCAGAUAUCUUAAUGGUUCAGACAUUUGCCUCUGAAUGGUUAAGUAUUAUACAGAGUCUGAAUGGUUAAGACCUCUAAUCUGAAUUGAUCAGAGAUUUGUCUAUGAAGGGUUAAGCAUUAUACUGCCUCUUAAUGGUUCAAACCUCUUACUGGUUCAGCACUUAAUGGUUCAGACCUCUUAGUGGUUCAGUACUUAACCAUUCAGAAGUUGCCAAAUAGCCCCUAAGUAUAAGUAUGAGUUAAUACUAUGAGAGAGUGAAUGAAUGACACUACCUCAUUGUGGAGUACUUAUAUAUGGAGAUAGGGGCGCAGCAUAGUGGGGGCGGGAGGGGGCGGCCGACCCUCCGAACUUUCCGCUUAGUAGUGGAGGGUAUGUAGUUUUCGUAUAGAAAUUUUUGGGUAUAUACGCUUUUGACCCCCCGUUUGGUCGGAAAUCUCAAGCUUCGCCACUGAAUGGAGAAUGAGGGUUGAUAUCAUUAUCCUAUGGUGGUGUGCUUUUAUAAAAAUGUAACCAUAUUGAUAGUAAUUCUAUUGGAGGAGAUAAACAUUCAUUUUGCCAUGUACUCUAUGUGCCACCAAUUAGGCAUAACAGAAUUUGUGUUGUGCAUUGGUUUAGUCCAGGAAUUGUCGGGUCAAAUAUGAUCUUGUGAGUAUGUGGAUUAAAACCUGGUCAUUCCUCUUCAAACUUCACACUCUUUCAUUUGAAGUUACAUGGUUUGUACAUAUACUAGGAGUGUUUAAUUUUAGAAUGUCUUUUCUUAUACGUCUUUACAUAUCCUCUACACUUAGAAUUUUUUGCAGAAGUAGGUGUCUUGAGCAAGAAAAGAGUGCCAUUAGGUGGUCACCAACAUUGUUUUCAUAUCUAGGUAAAUAGCGGUUCCAAUCAGCGACCUUCAAGAGAAUUUCUGCAACAAAAUUGAAGUUUCUGCAAAAGCUGGAUAAUUUUCAGAAGGUUGCUGAAAGUCGCUGUAUGAGAUAGCGAUCUUCAGAAGGUCGCUGAAUCAUAUAACCAGCUUGUUUAAAGUCGCUAAAUCAUAUAUCCACCUUGCUGAAAGUCGCCAAAUCAUAUAACCAGCUUGCUGAAAGUCGCCAAAUCAUAUAUCAAACUUAUAAUAAGUCGCUGAUUGGAAGGACAAUGUUAUAAAAGGUUGCUGAUUCAUAAAACAAUGUUAAUGAAGGUUGCUGAUUCAUAAAUCAAUGUUAAUGAAGGUUGCCAAUUCAUAUAGCCAUGUUAUAAGGUUGCUGAUUCAUAAAACAAUGUUAAUGAAGGUUGCAAUUUAUUGUUCUGAAUUGUUCAGUAUGCAUAUUAUAACCCAAAUAAACAGAUGCACAAAAAUUCGUAUGUAACAACAUAAUGUGUUUGUUAAAAAAAUAUAAUGUUGAAUUUUCAAUU